rnacentral:lncRNA from 1 species
GUCGAUGUUGGCUUUAUCGCGAGCUGCUCGUUAACGGAAGUCGUCGAGUACGUGUAUGUUUGGCUGCUUAUAGCAGCAUCGUGUAUUUGGUGUCUUGUGACUUGCUAUUGCUGCUUCUGGGAGAAAUUUGGAGCGCUCAACGAACGAGACCGCACCGCGCUCGUCCACGCUGAAACAAGUUGGAACUUUAUCCAGGGUUACCACACAUGCUGACUUAGUGGCCACAACAGAAAUUCGUUUUUGGUUCGGAGCCAGUCGAGCAUAACCGUGUGUGGCUCCAGGCUAACAGAAACUCAAGGUGAUGACUUCACAAUCCAGGAGACCGCCCAUCAUGAUGACUUGGGAGACAUGCCAGUGACGCCCAUAAUAUGUAUGAAAGGACCAGGUCUCUUUGAGGCAGAAAUGUUUACUGUCUGUGUGGAUGGUGUUGCGAUAUUGACUACUCAGUGGGCUGCAGCUUUC